UACGAAGGGGGCUAGCGUUGCUCGGAAUCACUGGGCGUAAAGGGUGCGUAGGCGGGUCUUUUAAGUCAGGGGUGAAAUCCUGGAGCUCAACUCCAGAACUGCCUUUGAUACUGAAGAUCUUGAGUUCGGGAGAGGUGAGUGGAACUGCGAGUGUAGAGGUGAAAUUCGUAGAUAUUGCAAGAACACCAGUGGCGAAGGCGGCUCACUGGCCCGAUACUGACGCUGAGGCACGAAAGCG
rnacentral:rRNA from 1 species